AUUUAUAUAAUAUAAAAAUUAUAUCUAACUUCCAAUUAGAAAAUCCCAAUGGGUAUAAAUA
rnacentral:tRNA from 1 species